rnacentral:rRNA from 1 species
UGAAGAGUUUGAUCAUGGCUCAGAUUGAACGCUGGCGGCAGGCUUAACACAUGCAAGUCGAGCGGUAACAGAUCUAGCUUGCUAGAUGCUGACGAGCGGCGGACGGGUGAGUAACGCGUAGAUAGCUGCCUAGUAGUGGGGGAUAGCCCGGGGAAACUCGGAUUAAUACCGCAUACGCUCUACGGAGGAAAGGGGGCUUCGGCUCUCGCUAUUAGAUGUGUCUGCGUGGGAUUAGCUAGUUGGUGAGGUAAAGGCUCACCAAGGCGACGAUCUCUAGCUGGUCUGAGAGGAUGAUCAGCCACACUGGGACUGAGACACGGCCCAGACUCCUACGGGAGGCAGCAGUGGGGAAUAUUGCACAAUGGGCGCAAGCCUGAUGCAGCCAUGCCGCGUGUGUGAAGAAGGCUCUAGGGUUGUAAAGCACUUUCAGUAGGGAGGAAGGCCUCGUAGUUAAUACCUGCGAGGAUUGACGUUACCUACAGAAGAAGCACCGGCUAACUCCGUGCCAGCAGCCGCGGUAAUACGGGGGAUGCAAGCGUUAUCCGGAAUCAUUGGGCGUAAAGCGCCUGUAGGUUGUUUAAUAAGUCUGUUGUUAAAGACUAGGGCUUAACCCUAGAAAAGCAAUGGAAACUACUAGACUAGAGUAUGGCAGGGGUAGAGGGAAUUUCUAGUGUAGCGGUGAAAUGCGUAGAUAUUAGAAAGAACACCGGUGGCGAAAGCGCUCUACUGGACCAUUACUGACACUCAGAGGCGAAAGCUAGGGUAGCAAAAGGGAUUAGAUACCCCUGUAGUCCUAGCCGUAAACGAUGGAUACUACAUGUUGUGUUUAUUUCACAGUAUGGUAGCUAACGCGUUAAGUAUCCCGCCUGGGGAGUACGCUCGCAAGGGUGAAACUCAAAGGAAUUGACGGGGGCCCGCACAAGCGGUGGAGCAUGUGGUUUAAUUCGAUGCAACGCGAAGAACCUUACCUGGUCUUGACAUCCACAGAACUUUCCAGAGAUGGAUUGGUGCCUUCGGGAACUGUGAGACAGGUGCUGCAUGGCUGUCGUCAGCUCGUGUCGUGAGAUGUUCGGUUAAGUCCGGCAACGAGCGCAACCCACAUCCCCAGUUGCCAGCAGGUCAUGCUGGGCACUCUGUGGAAACUGCCCGUGAUAAGCGGGAGGAAGGUGUGGAUGACGUCAAGUCCUCAUGGCCCUUACGGGUUGGGCUACACACGUGCUACAAUGGUUAGGACAAAGAGUUGCGAGCUUGUGAAAGUCAGCUAAUCUCGUAAACCUAGCCCAAGUUCAGAUUGUAGGCUGCAACUCGCCUACAUGAAGUUGGAAUCGCUAGUAAUCGCUGGUCAGCCAUACAGCGGUGAAUCCGUUCCCGGGCCUUGUACACACCGCCCGUCACACCAUGGGAGCUGGUCAUACCCGAAACCGUUAGCUUAACCUUUUGGAGAGCGGCGUCUAAGGUAGGGCUAGUGACUGGGGUGAAGUCGGAACAAGGUAGCCGUACUGGAAGGUGCGGCUGGAUCACCUCCUU